UUCCUGUGGCGAUUGUGAGGAUGCUUACUGUUGCCAUAGUGACAGUCCGCUCGACAGUGUAUUUGGAAGACGAUGGCGCAGAGUGUGACAAGGAGGCCGACACAGACACCGCCCAGAAACACCAAGGCAGUCCUCUCAGGCCCAGACUGUGUGGUGGCAGACAGAGAUCAGGAGAGACGUCAGAGGGGAAGUGGGUAUAAGGAGUAACAGAGCUGAAGUCCUGGAGAGGCUCCAGGAGGAUCCUUCCUUCUCAGCAUGGAGAGGAGGACCGGGAGGGAAACAAGAUGAGCGAGGAAAGAGAGGAGACUCCACUGUGUCUGUAUUUCUUUCUUAACUUCCUCUUUAACCUGAUCUGCUGUAAGCUUAUGGCUCCACAGUCUGAGAGACUUUAAUGAAAAAGGUCUGAUUGUGUUUUUAUCUUAUGGAAUGCUUAACUUAAAUUCUAUUAUUAUUCUAAAGGAAAUUUGACCUACAGCAGGCACCAAGACACAAAAAAUACACAAAGAACAACAUCAGACAUAAAUACAAAAAUACUUGAAUUCCUCAGCUCAAGUGAAAACAAAUAUACAGCUACCACACUGAACCAAACACUGAAAUGGUUUGUAAACAGCACAGUAAAUGCAUCGUCAAGUCAAGCUAAGUGCUGUGCAGUGGCAAUAUAUUCACAGCUGUUGUGACAUGAGACUGUGAGACUGCUUUUAACAAAUCCCUUAGCACUGACCUAUUGCUUAAUUGUGCACAUUUAAAAGAUUGUAAUUUCAAUACUUGCUCAAUGAUGAAUAUAUUGACAUGUCUCUGAAAAUCUUCUCACAGCUUUCACAGCUGGUAGUUUGUGGAAAAGACCUUAGCAUCAUCAUCAGUGACCUAUAUCCUUAAAUAUGUACAUUUCAAGGAUGUGAUUUCAAUUGCUGGCUCAUUUGUGAAUAUAUUGAUGUCAAAUCAC